GAUGAACGCUGACAGAAUGCUUAACACAUGCAAGUCUUUGGCGAAGCUGUGCUUGCACAGCCUAGCCAAGGCGGACGGGUGAGUAACGCGUCAGGAACUUGCCCUGCAGUCAGGGAUAACAGACGGAAACGACUGAUAAGACCUGGUAAAGUCAGGCGGACUCAUGUCCAGCCUGAUGAAAAGUGAUGCUGCAGGAGAGCCUUGCGUCCUAUUAGCUUGUUGGUGGGGUAACGGCCCACCAAGGCGAUGAUAGGUAGCCGGCCUGAGAGGGUGGACGGCCACAAGGGGACUGAGAUACGGCCCUUACUCCUACGGGAGGCAGCAGUGGGGAAUAGUGGACAAUGGGGGCAACCCUGAUCCAGCAAUUCUGUGUGCACGAUGAAGGUUUUCGGAUUGUAAAGUGCUUUCAGCAGGGAAGAAAAAAAUGACGGUACCUGCAGAAGAAGCGACGGCUAAAUACGUG
rnacentral:rRNA from 1 species